UGUGUCUUUGUUGGAGGUAAUUUGGUGUCUUGAAGAAGUAAGGAGCAAAGCAUAGUUUCUCGAUCGAGUGCUGAAUCAGAGUAUAGAUUUAUAGCUCAAUCAAUAUGUGAGAUAAUAUGGAUACUUUAGUUAUUAGAUGAAAUUGGCCUUAAGACUUCUCUACCUGGACAAAUAUGGUGUCAUAAUCAAGCUGCACUCUGUAUUGCAUCAAAUACUGUGUUUCAUGAGUGGAUUAAAUGUAUUGAAAUUGAUUGUCAUUUUUUUUGUGAAAAAAAUCUAAAAGAAGAUCAUCUCAAAAGGUCAUGUCAAAACUAAAGGGCAGUUAGGAUAUAUUUUUAUAAAGGCUCUGAAUGGCGCUCGGGGUGACUAUAUUUGUAGCAAGUUGGG
rnacentral:misc_RNA from 1 species